rnacentral:rRNA from 1 species
CCAAUAGCGUAUAUUAAAGUUGUUGCAGUUAAAAAGCUCGUAGUUGAACUUCGGGGUCUACCCAUUGGUCAGGCUUAAUUGUCUGCACUGGUGAGAUGGAUCUCUACCUUCUGAGGAACUUUCAUGCCAUUUAUUUGGUGUGAUGGGAAAUCAGGACUGUUACUUUGAAAAAAUUAGAGUGUUUAAAGCAGACUAUCGUCUGAAUACAUUAGCAUGGAAUAAUGAAAUAGGACGGACUGAUUCUAUUUCGUUGGUUUCUAGGAUCACCGUAAUGAUUAAUAGGGAUAGUUGGGGGCAUUAGUAUUCAAUUGUCAGAGGUGAAAUUCUUGGAUUUAUUGAAGACUAACUACUGCGAAAGCAUUCGCCAAGGAUGUUUUCAUUAAUCAAGAACGAAAGUUAGGGGAUCGAAGACGAUCAGAUACCGUCGUAGUCUUAACCAUAAACUAUGCCGACUAGGGAUCGGACGAAGUUAAUUUUAUAAUGACGCGUUCGGCACCUUACG